rnacentral:rRNA from 1 species
UACCUACGGGGCGCAGCAGUGGGGAAUAUUGCACAAUGGGGGAAACCCUGAUGCAGCGACGCCGCGUGGGUGACGAAGUAUUUCGGUAUGUAAGGCCCUAUCAGCAGGGAAGAAGAUGACAGUACCUGACUAAGAAGCCCCGGCUAACUACGUGCCAGCAGCCGCGGUAAUACGUAUGGUGCAAGCGUUAUCCGGAUUUACUGGGUGUAAAGGGAGCGUAGACGGCUGUGCAAGUCUGAAGUGAAAGGCCGGGGCCCAACCCCGGGAGUGCUUUGGAAACUGUGCGGCUAGAGUGUCGGAGAGGC